GGAGGGAUGGCAGAGCGGUUGAAUGCACCGGUCUUGAAAACCGGCAAGGGUUAAUAGCCCUUCCAGGGUUCGAAUCCCUGUCCCUCCGCCG
rnacentral:tRNA from 1 species